GCCUCGUUAGCUCAGCGGAAGAGCUUCCGACUCUUAAUCGGCAGGUCCGGGGUUCGAAUCCCUGACGGGGCA
rnacentral:tRNA from 1 species